rnacentral:rRNA from 1 species
CGCGUAGGCGGUUCGGCAAGUCGGGUGUGAAAGCCCUCGGCUCAACCGAGGAACUGCAUCCGAUACUGCCGGGCUAGAGUGCGGGAGGGGAGAGUGGAACUCCUGGUGGAGCGGUGAAAUGCGUAGAUAUCAGGAGGAACGCCGGUGGCGAAAGCGACUCUCUGGUCCGCAACUGACGCUGAGGCGCGAAAGCCAGGGGAGCGAACG